CUGGGGCACAUUUUUAUUAGUUUAUGCCACUGGGUCAAAAGAUUUUUUGAAAAAUUUCUUGUUCUCUCAUUUCUAGAGGGCUUGGAAAAACUUGAGUAUGCAUAUAUACAAAAAAAAGAAGAAGCCCAAAGAGAGGAUGAAGAUUCUGGAGAGAAGCAAGCUCUGAGGAGCCAUUCUUAGGUCACAGGCAGUGAGCUGGCUUCGGCCCAUGGCUGGGAGUCUACCCACACCUGGACGAGGCUGUCACCACCUCGAAGGAAGGAUUACCUGUAAGAUGUAAAACAUCAUCCCUGGGCAGCACGGGGCACACAGAAGACAGUACAUAGAUGCUUACUUUUCAUCGAGUCUGGAUGUUCCUGAAAUCAACAGGAGGCAAAGAACUUUAGCUCGCUUGUAGCAAUAACCACUGUGCAUAGAAACACACAGGCGCCACUGUCUCUCGUGGAGGAAGGAUGUUGGUCGAGGGUCUGUUCCAGAUGCUAAAGACAGGCGCUGGCAGAAACAUUUCCUUAGAUCCUUAAGUGAAGCUGCUAGCCUGCGAAGUUUCCACCAGAUGGCACCAAAACACUAUAUUCCAAGCACUAAGCCGUCACCGCGCCUUCAGGAGAAAGAGCCGGAACCUUCCGCUCCUCUGAGAUGAUCAAGCACAGGCCCAGGGGACACCUGCCACAGCAUAUGGCUUGACAAGCGGUGCAUAGGUCCACACCUGGGAUCCGAACUGGUGAACCCUGGGCUGCGGAACUGGAACAUGUGAACUUAACUGCUGCGCCACCAGGCUGGCCCCCGUAUACACUUUUAUGAUAUUUUGUAGGUAUACUCUUUUGUAAAAUUUUGCCAACAACUGUAACAUGCAUGUACAUAUACAGAAAGUACAUAAAUAUUUCUUGUUUUGCAAAGAUGUGUGUGCAUGGGGGGUGGGUGCUGUGUCUUCCCACUGCACAGAGUCGCUGUGUCUUGCUCUAGACAUUGGAAGCAUUUCUGGCUGCUUCCUUACCCUGGGGAGUCAUCUGAACGUCCAGAGUUCCCAAAGUGCUUUGGGAUGGCUUAGGCUAAAAGAUGCUAUUUGUUGUGAAGCUAGCUUGUUUUAUUCCCAAGGGAAUUUCAUCAUUUUUGUAUUUGUGAAAACUGUCAUAUUUGGAGAUCUGGGUCUUUCUCAAAAUGCAAUUAUCUGAAAGAAGCAAACCAACACAGAGUAGACCCCUUGUCUUCAAAGUCAUUUUAUUAAGAGUAAAUUAGACUGGAAAAAUGAUAGUCUAAAAUGCAUUUUCAAUAGAUUGCUGUCUAAAAUGCAUUUUCAAUAGAUGGCUGUCAGGCCUGCUACCUGUCAAACAGAGAGGCCUGCAGUCUCAUAGUGACAUAUGGAUUAGCCCAGGCUUCCCCGCAGCGUGAAAACAAAAGACAAUUGGUGAUGCAUGGGGCAAACUCAUCUUAAAACAGAGAUAUCAACAAAGGAAUAUGACAGAAUGAAAAGACUGAGUGCAGGCUGCUGUCCACAUUUGCAAAGAGAUUCUGUCUGAAUCCAUAACUUCAAUACAAUAUGAG
rnacentral:lncRNA from 1 species